rnacentral:rasiRNA from 1 species
CACAUUCUUCUACCUCAUUUAUCCAC